UCUUAUUCUCCAACACAGGCUUGUCAUACUUGUAUUACAUUUGGGGAUAACUCCUGUUCCACGAUGGUAUUUGACCAACACCGAGGUCACUGUGGUUGGGGAACUCCUCGCAGGCAUAUACCAAAAAACAAGAUACCAUCUUCCUUAAUUUUGCUUUUACAAGAAAAAAUAUGAACAGAUAUGAAGUUCCUUAGUCCUUGAUAUUGGUUGGUUGGAGACUGACAAACUUAAGAAAUGCAAAAAUGUGUAUGUUAGAGAAACACAGAACUGGACUUGAAUGGUGGUGGGAGCAUGAUUCUCUUCAAUUUUCUUUGUAUUUUAGUGCCAUGCACAAACAGAAAAUUUAUUCUGCUCAAUCACUGGCAUUUUUUAGAGCAUACAGGACAAUAGGUAUCAGCUGCAGCAAAAAAUUCAAUGAAAGCUUGCUGGAAGCCACAGCAGAUAGAAACACCAAUCCAUAGAUUAGCAUUUCAGUGUUAUUAUCCUUCAGGCUGUGCAGAUGGUGGUUUGCCUAGUGCCUGUUCUUUUCAGGCACUGGCCCUAAUUUCAGGCACUAUACAUGCCUUAUCUCAUUUGCAUCAUUUUAAUUUAAAACAAUAGUCUUUAAAUUUCACAAUAUUUUCAAGCUCAAAGGUGCCAGAAUGACCUGUAUAGUGUCAGACAUCUGGAUAAAAAUACAGACAGAAUCUGGAAGUGCUAUAGAUUAUGCUUACUCAAGCUCCAGAUUUUCAGUCCCCUCUGGUUUAAAACUCUCUGCUCUCCCCAGAGGAGGUAUAUAUUUCAGUGCACUUCCAUGCUUCUGAAACUACUGUUGGCAAGAGCAAAGAUGAUUACCUUCUCAGUCAGGAGGAACUGGGUUACUGAUCUUGGUACUUAAUGGGUGCUGUGACCUACACUACACAGGACCAGUUCUUGUUCAUCAGAUACACUCUUCUACACUGAGAGCCUGAAAAUGUUUUUAUGGAGUUUAUUAUGAUGAUUUAUUUCUGUUGACACUACAGGAUUUCAAAGUCUGCCAAGAGGCUGAAGUCCUGAAAAUUGUGGCCAGUUUGAUAUGAAGCUCCUGCACUCAAGAGACAUUGGAUAUUAAAGAGGGAGGCAGGUGCAGGAAACAAAGCUUGGCAUGACAGAUGAUCCAUCACAUGUGGCAGGGAUAGAAAAUGGCAGUGCCAAGAGAGCAGCAGCACCCAGCAGCUGUGGAUGGGCUAUGCACAGGCCAGCCUGCAUCAACCUGCUGUCAAGGAAAAACAGCUCUCAGAAACUUCUGAUUUCCCUUGGGCUUGGAUGAAAUGCUCAUCAUGGCCCUCCUUGGGGUUAGUGCAGAAAACAAUUCUUCUCUGUCUGUUUUCCCCCUCUAUUAGAACCCUGGUUACCGAGAAUUUUAGACUUUCUGUGCUGACAGGCACUGACCCCCAAGAGAAUGCUGAUUUUGACCUGAGGCCGUGGAGAAGGCUUCCAAAAUUGAAUGACAGAACUGGGAUUAUGAGUGUGUAAUUUGAAUAGAAGUGUGGAAUAUCACAUUAUGGAAAACUUAGAGUUUAGGUUUUAGAAUAUAGUAAUAUAUAUAUAUAUAUAUAUAUAUAUAUAUAUAUAUAUAUAGCAAGAUGGAGGUCUUAGUGCAGUGUCUAGUCCUUCUUCUUCACCUUCUUCUUCAUGGGUUUGGAUCAUAUUGUGUAAUUGGAUAAAAAAUUCUGCACUGCAGGCCAUGGGCUAUUGGGUUAAAAGUAAAAAUAAUUUAGGUGUCAUUUCUUAAUUGGACAGUUUAUCCUUAAAAGGCCUUGUAGAGAGAUACAGCUCCAUUUUUAAUUUGUUGGAGUGAAAUGCUGUAUAAUUCAUGGUUUGUGAGACUGUAAUAUAGAUCAGAACUAAUAAACAUCCUAGUCCAAACAAGAAAUACCAUCUCACGCAUUUAAUCCCAACCUUGGCAAGAAAGAGGCAAAGAAUUCACACCCCUGUCCUUUAACUUCCCAGGGAAGAGUUCUCAUCAGUACAGUGUAGGUUUCAGUCCACACAUGAAAUCACAGCCAGCUUUUGUGCUGGGUGUGAUGGUGAGACCUUAGCCCAUGCGUGUGAUUGCACCUGGAGGCAGGUACACCGCAGCAUUAUCAAGAAGUGGCCAGAUUGGAAUGUGUUUUGCCCUCCUGGGAAGCACAGCCUGCCCUGUUCCUGUGAGCAUACCAGCAGGCAAGGCUAGGGGGAAGACUGGAGAUUUGUAUACCCUUCUGCAUAAGUAGCUGUAAAUUUUCAGCUGGAAGGAGCACUGCAGUGGUAUUUUUACUUUCUACAGAGUAACUACUAGUCGUACUUUGUAUAGUGCUCUAUUACUUUUCCAAAAGGAGAAGACCAAAUACAGACACUGCAGUGUGUUCAGGGGUUCCCCUUCAGUGGAUAUUAGGAGCUGCUCAUAGAAAGCAUUGCCAGAGAAGUUUUCAUGUUGAAUGACUCCACGAGGUGUGUGGGUGAAAAACGCAGCAUCCACUGCAUAAUUCUGGCUAUCUCCUUCCUUCUGAGCCAUAUGAUGCACCAGGCUGCAUCACUCAGUGCAGGACAAGUCCAAGACACAGAAGACCAAUAACAAUAGGUAGAAAAAUCUAUUUUUUAACUCUAGUGACUUAGCAAGUGAACAUUUGAUUUUUUUUUUUUUUAUACAAAGUAUCAAUGUCCUGAUGAGUCUUUGGCUGUGACUCACCUUGCAAUACUAAAUAAUACAAGAAAGCUUCAUUUAAGGUCCUGUUCUGAAUCAAGAGGUUCUCCAAUCCAUUAUGUUGCCUGUACUUAUAUUGCCUGACAAUUAGUAUUAUUGUAAUAUUAUACUGAUUUUGAACAGAAAAAACACUGUAGGUGCUACUACUUUCUCAUGAAAUUUUCUUCAAAACAGAAAUAUUGAUUUCUUAGAGUUUUAACUCCUUAGCUUCCAACCAAAACUAAAAUACCUUCUCAGUCAUUCCUGUCUAAAAAUUAAUAUUACUGAGUUUCAGGUAAUGCAGUAUAAGCCUUAAAAUUUGCAGGAAAACCGGAGUUGUAAGACAGUCUUGGAGCCCAGGGUCAGUAUGGCACUGGUACUACAUGUAGCCCCCAGCUCUGAAAUUUAUAUACUCUUCACAAAUAAGCAUGCCUUUUCUUCAAAUAUAUUCAGUUGGAGUUCAUAUCCAUGUUAAAAACACAUACAGGUUUAAUUAUUUUGCGUUUUAUUCCAAGAGCGAAAAGCAAGCAGAAAUACUUAGGGGAAAAAAAAGCCAGACAAACCCAACCCCAAAGCAUUUUAUGUAAUCUUUUUCAGGAAACCCCUAAUCCUCUAAGUGCCAGUACAUUUUUAAACACUCUCAUGGUUAAAUAAUUUGACUUUUUGAUGUAAAGGUCCUUUACCUAAGUUUCCUCCUAAUAAAUUUUCUAAGUACUCAGAACCCUCAAAAUGGGAUUUUUAAAAUCUUUUUUACAUUAGUAUUUUUCCAGAAAAAAAUAUUCAAUUUAUCCAACCUGAAAUGAAUUGAAAAUCCAGUUUAGUACUGUUUGCUCUGUUGAUAACUGACUUUGUGCAAGUAAGAUCACCUGGUGCUUAGUUUACCUGCUAUCAAAUGAGAACAAGAAUUCUUCAUAAUCCCGUUUCUCUUUCUGUCUCUUGGGUGGAGAGACUCCACUGUGUCCAAGGAUCCCACGGAAUGUCCAUCCUCCAAGUGCUGUUGUACUUAAUAUA
ensembl:lncRNA